CUAGCGACUUCAGAGUUUGAUCCUGGCUCAGGAUGAACGCUGGCGGCGUGCUUAACACAUGCAAGUCGAACGAAGCACUUAUCUUUGAUUCUUCGGAUGAAGAGGCAAGUGACUGAGUGGCGGACGGGUGAGUAACGCGUGGGUAACCUGCCUCAUACAGGGGGAUAACAGUUAGAAAUGACUGCUAAUACCGCAUAAGCGCACAGUACCGCAUGGUACCGUGUGAAAAAACUCCGGUGGUAUGAGAUGGACCCGCGUCUGAUUAGCUAGUUGGUGAGGUAACGGCUCACCAAGGCAACGAUCAGUAGCCGGCCUGAGAGGGUGAACGGCCACAUUGGGACUGAGACACGGCCCAA
rnacentral:rRNA from 1 species